UCCGAUGAUGAGUCUCGCUCGGCUGAUAGAUGAUGUAGGGCAUACUGGCUGAGG
rnacentral:snoRNA from 16 species